CACUUAUCCUAUAGCUUUUUCUUGGAUUAUAUGUUCUCCUUGUUGUUUUCUUUUACACACAUACACAUAAUUCUGUAAAUUACAAUCCACUAUUUAAAUAAAUAUUUUUUUUAAAGGCUACAAUCCACUAUUUAAUACUACAAUAUUAUCCAAAGAUAUUAUUAUUAAGUUGGUAUUACUUAUAAUCCAUAGAUCUAAUGUGGACGCUCAGAAUCUUUAGAUCAUUCUGAUUUCAAGGUGGCUCCAUAUGCAAUAAGCCCAAUGAUCUAACUGGUCUGGAUCAACAUACAAGCAUGCAAUAAGUCACUGCCAUUUAAUGUGGCGUGACAGGUUUAGCUUUAGACGAAAGUAAACAAAAAUUUUACGAAAUAAUCAAUCAUUUCAGAUUUCUUUCUGAUUACUGUGGUUGCUAGUUUCCUAGUAGUUAUUUGGAUUUGUAGUUGUGGGCCGCUUUCCUGAUGAUGAUAUUGAAGAAAUUGAAGAUUUUAGACUUGGGAAGGUACAUAGCCUUUGAUGAAUAUGAAGGGAUUGAGGUGGCAUGGAACCAGGUGAAGCUGUAUGACUUCUUACAGAGCCCUGAAGAUCUAGAGAAGCUUUACUGAAUCUGAGUCACAAUUCCCUCUCCGGUUCCAUUGGGGACAUAUUUACUGGUCUGAAGAAUCUAAAACAAAUCUAAAACAAAUUGACCUGCAGAGCAACCAAUUUACUGGAUCAGUUAACUUCCUGGCUGGUCUCCCUCUAUCAUACCUGUUCUGGACUGUGGUGAGAAGAUUGAGCUUCUGGUAGACAAAACAGAGAACCUCCGCUCACAGGUGGUGAACCUCAAUAUCAUUGAGGGCCUGAACUUGCUGAAGGACUCCGAAAUACUGGUGCUGAUGCCUUUUACUGCUACACAGCUCACCAAAUAUCAACAAGAAACAGGUCCCUUUGAAA